rnacentral:rRNA from 1 species
GACGGAGGAUGCAAGCGUUAUCCGGAAUUAUUGGGCGUAAAGAGCUCGUAGGCGGUUUGUCGCGUCUGCCGUGAAAGUCCGGGGCUCAACUCCGGAUCUGCGGUGGGUACGGGCAGACUAGAGUGAUGUAGGGGAGACUGGAAUUCCUGGUGUAGCGGUGAAAUGCGCAGAUAUCGGGAGGAACACCAGUGGCGAAGGCGAGUCUCUGGGCUGAUACCGACGCUGAGGCGCGAAAGCCAGGGGAGCAAACGGG